rnacentral:rRNA from 1 species
GAUGAACGCUGGCGGCGUGCCUAACACAUGCAAGUCGAACGAACAGACGCUGAGCUUGUUCCUUUGACGUUAGCGGAGGACGGGCGUGUAACACGUGUAUCACCUACUUAUCUUUCGGGGAUAACAACGAAACUCCGGAUCCUAUACCAUAUCAUAUAUUGAACCGCGUGGUUCAUUAGUGAAUGACGGCUUUGGUGUCUGGUAUCGCCGGUUUCGCGCUGGCUUAGCUAGUUGGUAAGGUCACGGCUUACCAAGGCGACGAUGCGUAGCCGACCUGAGAGGGUGAUCGGCCACACUGGAACUGAGACACGGUCCAGACUCCUACGGGAGGCAGCAGUAGGGAAUCUUCCGCAAUGGGCGGAAGCUUGACGGAGCAACGCCGCGUGAGUGAUGAAGGCCUUCGGAUCGUAAAGCCCUGUUAUUGGGGAAGAACAGCUGUGGAAGAAACCAUGCCCGUCUUGACGGUACCUAAUGAAAAAGCAACGGCUAACUACGUG